rnacentral:rRNA from 1 species
CCCCUUGAGUAUGACUAACGUGGCAUUGCCUCAGUAACGGCGAGUGAAGCGGCAACAGCUCAAAUUUGAAAUCUGGAGCCUUCGGCCCCAGUUGUGUUUGUGAAGAAGGUGUUUGGUUUGGUGCCGCCGGACUUCUUUGGUGCGGGACGCCGUCAAGGGGGGGGGGCCCCCCUGGCUGGGCUGCUGGCCUGUUUCCAUGUCCAACUACUAGUCAAGUACUAGGGGAAUGCUGCUGCAAAUGGGAGGGGGUGGUCUUUUUCAUCUAAAUAUUGGUCUUGGACCGAGACCGCACAAGUACAGUGAUCGUGAGAUGAAGAUGAAAAGCAAAAGAGGGUUAGAGUUAACGUGAAAUUGUUGAUGUGGAAAGGCUUGUGCUUGCACUUGGACUCGGUUGAUCAUGAUGGGUUCUCCUUCGGGUACUUGCCCUCUUCUAUUUGAGCAUCAGUUUCUCCUGGGGGAAAAAGGCUUCGGGAACAUGGCUCCUCCUCCAUUGUUAUAACCCGUUGCAUAAUACCCUGCGGUGGACUGACGACGGCGCAUCUGCCGGGAUGCUGGCGGAUUGGUCACCAGCGACCCUUCUUGACCCGUCUUGAAGGAGUC